UAACCGAAGAUGACCAGAUUAUGCAUACCCUUGCAGGUCUUGGUCCCGAGUAUGACUCAGUAAUGGUGACCAUUACAUCUAAACCUGAAGUCUGGAGUCUCGGUGAUGUCAGCUCUCUUUUGUUGAGUUUUGAGA